AGAACGAACGCUGGCGGCAUGCCUAACACAUGCAAGUCGAACGAGACCUUCGGGUCUAGUGGCGCACGGGUGCGUAACGCGUGGGAAUCUGCCCUUGGGUUCGGAAUAACAGCGAGAAAUUGCUGCUAAUACCGGAUGAUGACGUAAGUCCAAAGAUUUAUCGCCCAAGGAUGAGCCCGCGUAGGAUUAGCUUGUUGGUGAGGUAAGAGCUCACCAAGGCGACGAUCCUUAGCUGGUCUGAGAGGAUGAUCAGCCACACUGGGACUGAGACACGGCCCAGACCUCCGUACGGGAGGCAGCGAGG
rnacentral:rRNA from 1 species